rnacentral:rRNA from 1 species
CAAUAGCGUAUACUAAAGUUGUUGCAGUUAAAAAGCUCGUAGUUGAAUUUCUGGAUGCGAAAGGUGGUCGGCACCUCACGGUGUCUGCACCCACCAUUCGCGUCCAUCCUCGGGAGGAACAUGUGGACACUUUAGUGGGUCUGCAUGGGAAUCCCGUCAUUUACUGUGAGCAAAAUAGAGUGUUCAAAGCAGGCUUACGCCGUUGAAUAUAUUAGCAUGGAAUAAUAAGAUACGACUUUGGUCUAUUUUGUUGGUUUGCAUUCCAAAGUAAUGAUUAAUAGGGAUAGUUGGGGGUAUUCGUAUUCAAUUGUCAGAGGUGAAAUUCUUGGAUUUAUGGAAGACGAACUACUGCGAAAGCAUUUACCAAGGAUGUUUUCAUUAA